rnacentral:rRNA from 1 species
CAAACUGGCGACUGCCUAACCAUGCGAGUCGUCUCCGAGAGUGGGGCGACUCACUCUCAUUGGCACACGGGUGAGUAACACGUGAAUAACCUGCCUUUGAGAAGGGGAUAACUGUCCCAAAGGAUAGCUAAUACCCUAUAUUGCCUUUUGUCACUAAGGCAAAAGGUGAAAGCGAGGCUGUCAAAGGCUUCGGCUCAAAGAGGGGUUCGCGUCCUAUCAGGUAGUUGGUGGGGUAAUGGCCUACCAAGCCAAUGACGGGUAGCUGGUCUUAGAGGAUAAUCAGCCACAGUGGGACUGAGACACGGCCCGCAAGCCCUACGGGGGGCAGCAGUGGGGAAUCGUGGGCAAUGGGCGCAAGCCUGACCCCGCAAUGCCGCGUGAGGGAAGAAGCCCUUCGGGGUGUAAACCUCUGUCACAUGGGAAGAUGGGACUAGGGGCUAAUACCUCCUAGUCUUGACGGUACCAUCAGAGGAAGGGACCGCUAACUUCUUGCCAUCAGCCGCAGUAAU